AAACUGAAGAGUUUGAUCCUGGCUCAGAUUGAACGCUGGCGGCAUGCCUAACACAUGCAAGUCGAACGGUAACGACUUCAUUACCUUCGGGUAAUGAAGGGCGACGAGUGGCGGACGGGUGAGUAACGCAUAGGAAUCUGCCCAGUAGUGGGGGACAACUCCGGGAAACCGGAGCUAAUACCGCAUACGCCCUACGGGGGAAAGCGGGGGAUCUUCGGACCUCGCGCUAUUGGAUGAGCCUAUGUCUGAUUAGCUUGUUGGUAGGGUAACGGCCUACCAAGGCAACGAUCAGUAGCUGGUCUGAGAGGAUGAUCAGCCACACUGCGACUGAGACACGGCGCAUACUCCUACGGGAGGCAGCAGUGGGGAAUAUUGCACAAUGGGCGCAAGCCUGAUGCAGCAAUGCCGCGUGUGUGAAGAAGGCCUGCGGGUUGUAAAGCACUUUCAGUAGCGAAGAAAAGCCCGGGGUUAAUAGCCUCGAGUCUUGACGUUAGCUACACAAGAAGCACCGGCUAACUCCGUGCCAGCAGCCGCGGUAAUACGGAGGGUGCGAGC
rnacentral:rRNA from 1 species